GUGCUUGCCUCAGCAGCACAUAUACUAAAAUUGGAAUGAUACAGAGAUUAGCAUGGCCCCUACACAAGGAUGAUAUGCAAAUUCAUGAAGUGUUCCAUAUUUUU